GGGCGUUUAGCUCAGCUGGUCAGAGCGCUGCCCUUACAAGGCAGAUGUCGGGAGUUCGAAUCUCUCAACGCUCA
rnacentral:tRNA from 1 species